rnacentral:tRNA from 1 species
GCCCCGGUGGUGGAACUGGAAGACACAGCAGACUGUCAAUCUGCCGCCUGGUAGGGCAUACGGGUUCGAGUCCCGUCCGGGGCA